rnacentral:rRNA from 1 species
AACGAACGCUGGCGGCAUGCCUAACACAUGCAAGUCGAACGAGACCUUCGGGUCUAGUGGCGCACGGGUGCGUAACGCGUGGGAACCUGCCCUUAGGUUCGGAAUAACUCCCCGAAAGGGGUGCUAAUCCCGGAUAAUGUCUUCGGACCAAAGAUUUAUCGCCUUUGGAUGGGCCCGCGUUGGAUUAGCUGGUUGGUAGGGUAAAAGCCUACCAAGGCGACGAUCCAUAGCUGGUCUGAGAGGAUGAUCCGCCACACUGGGACUGGGACACGGCCCAGACUCCUACGGGAGGCAGCAGUGGGGAAUAUUGGACAAUGGGCGAAAGCCUGAUCCAGCAAGGCCGCGUGAGUGAUGAAGGCCUUAGGGUUGUAAAGCUCUUUUAACCGGGAUGAUAAUGACAGUACCGGGAGAAUAAGCUCCGGCUAACUCCGUG